GGAUAUCUAGCCCUACGAUUACGCUUAGCAGCAUCUUGAAUCCUACGUUUCUUCUCUUCUUGUUUAUCCUCAAAAUAUCUUCUUCUCUUAAACUCUUGAAUAACACCAGCUCUAAGAACAUCUCUUCUAAACCUACCAACAACUCUCUCUUCAACCUCAUCAUCUUCAAUAACAACUUGAACAUUGUAAGGAGAUGCAUAGAACAUGGAGUCUGUACCUGAAAGUGAAUCGAAACUAAGAUCCAGGUUAUCUUGUUCUCGUUGUUGUGAUGAUGAAGAUGUAACAGAAGAAGAGGUUUCACUUCGGCUUAGAACAAGUGGUAUGAAUUUGUUGCGGUGGUUGUUGUGGUGGUGGAGAAGAGGGAGUUGAGGUGGUUGUGGUGACUUUGAUGGUGGUGAGAGGAAAGGGAAGAGGUUGGAGAAGGAAGUUGAGAGAGCCAUCAUUGAUGAUG
rnacentral:lncRNA from 1 species